AUUGGAAAUGUAAAUGAGCUAAAUACCUAAUAAAAAAUGGAAAAAAAAAAAAAAAUAUCAAAUGUGAUAAGCUAUGGCUAACGGUUAUGCUGACAAAUUUUGGGAGGCUUGUAAAUGUAGACCUUAGCAUUAAUCUAAACCUUAAGUCACCCCAUGGCAAUCUUGACACAAUCUCACUUUGCAAAUAUUUCCAGGAAACAGAUGUUCACUUUGCAACUUCCUUUUUGAGAAUGAAGAAAUGAAUGAACAGAUACUGUUAAGUAUCCAUUUUGAGUAAAACACUUUUUUUUUCUGAAGAAAUAAUAGAGAGUAGGAUAGCAUUUAAGUCUCUGCCUCCAGGAACUGAAAACUUGCUGAACGUUGCAUGAAUUUUCUUGGGAAGGCACACAGAAAAGACUAUUUAGCCAUAACAGAGCAAAGAUUCUAUACAAUUUCAGUUCAUGUGGCUCACUGGAUCAUGGACAGAUUACAGCUACAAUAUCAACAAGCCCCAUGCUUCUACUUUUAACACAUUAUCCAUAGGACCUCAGGGUGUAUAUGGAUGGAGGGUCCCUUGUAGGUUUUACAAUGACUCACUAAGCCACUAGCUACUUGUUUUGUUUUUAUGAGAUUUAUGACUCACCUUCUCCUGAUUUUACCUCAUUAGUGUCUACUAUAGUAGGUCUGAUUCAUAAUGGCAAAGGUCUUUUAAAAUAUGAAGAAAAGAGUUACACUCUAACAAACACACAGAAUGUAAUAAUGGCAAUGGAUGAUUUUUCAGAGUCCCAUGGAUUUUGGCCUUUUUAGUUCUAAAGCUUUGUAUUUGUUUCAGUUCUGUUGUGAUUCUCUUGCAAUCCUUAAUAAUUUUUGGGCAAGAGAUUUCUCACUUUCAUUUCACUUGGUAUUGGGUCUGAGUAAUCAAGUAAAUACUGCAGCAUGUCCAAGCAGGCCUUUUCGUGUAUGAAUAAUAAGUUCACUUAAGAUGGAAAUAUUAGCUUGUCUCUUAAGUGACUGCCAGAGAAGGAUGCCACUAAGAAAUGGUGACAAGUGCAUGUUUAAAUGAUGAACAGAAAUUACUGAAGUGGGAUAAAAUUUCUAUACAAUGCUCAUGGUAAACAAAAACAUGAAGGGUGCCCAUUCAUGAUCUUGAACUUGAGAAUGAAACAGAAGGAAAACCAAGAGAAGAAGAAAGGCUCAAUUUAAAGAGAAUUGUAUAUACCAUCUUGUCUAUAAUCACUUUAUCUUGAGAGUAUAAUCGUCCUUGAAUGUUUUUUAAGUAUGUGUGGACAUAUCAGAGACUUAUCUUAGAAAGGCAAUUUUCAGUUGUCCCUCAGUGAAAUCAAUGGAGGAAGUAAAUGAUUUUUACCAUUAAUCUAAGCAAGGAGAGAAAACUCAAUCAAUAGUCUGUCUGACAAGAAAGUAUGCGAGUAGACAGGAUUUCUGAUGGAAGUGUUGAGAAGUCAUAAAGAUAUUUUAGGGUAGUUAAAUGGGUGUAUUUUAAUUUACUGAGAUUCAUCAAAAAGAGAGGGAACAUAAGGCAGAGAUUAUGAUUUCUAGGUUGUAAAUGUUCCAUUCAAGAUGUACAAAUACACAAAGGUGUCAAAGAUUAAGGACUGGAAUAAAAUUGAUCAUUCCACUGAUAAUGGGGCUUGAAGAAGAUGUAGAAGACAUGGAACUCUGAAUGC
rnacentral:lncRNA from 1 species